rnacentral:rRNA from 1 species
GAAACUGAGGCUAAUACCGGAUAGGCAAUUUUUCCUGUAAUGGUUUUUUGUUUAAAUGUUUUUUCGCCUAAGGAUGGGUCUGCGGCCGAUUAGGUAGUUGGUUAGGUAAUGGCUUACCAAGCCGUUGAUCGGUACGGGUUGUGAGAGCAAGAGCCCGGAGAUGGAACCUGAGACAAGGUUCCAGGCCCUACGGGGUGCAGCAGGCGCGAAACCUCCGCAAUGUGAGAAAUCGCGACGGGGGGAUCCCAAGUGCCAUUCUUAACGGGAUGGCUUUUCAUUAGUGUAAAAAGCUUUUGGAAUAAGAGCUGGGCAAGACCGGUGCCAGCCGCCGCGGUAACACCGGCAGCUCUAGUGGUAGCAACUUUUAUUGGGCCUAAAGCGUCCGUAGCCGGUUUAAUAAGUCUCUGGUGAAAUCCUGUAGCUUAACUGUGGGAAUUGCUGGAGAUACUAUUAGACUUGAGACCGGGAGAGGUUGGAGGUACUCCCAGGGUAGAGGUGAAAUUCGGUAAUCCUGGGAGGACCGCCUGUUGCGAAGGCGUCUAACUGGAACGGUUCUGACGGUGAGGGACGAAAGUUAGGGGCGCGAACCGGAUUAGAUACCCGGGUAGUCCUAACUGUAAACGAUGCGGACUUGGUGUUGGGGUGGCUUUGAGCUGCUCCAGUGCCGAAGGGAAGCUGUUAAGUCCGCCGCCUGGGAAGUACGGUCGCAAGACUGAAACUUAA